rnacentral:rRNA from 1 species
GUAGGUGGCAAGCGUUGUCCGGAAUUAUUGGGCGUAAAGCGCGCGCAGGGCGGUCCUUUAAGUCUGAUGUGAAAGCCCACGGCUCAACCGUGGAGGGUCAUUGGAAACUGGGGGACUUGAGAACAGAAGAGGAAAGCGGAAUUCCAAGUGUAGCGGUGAAAUGCGUAGAGAUUUGGAGGAACACCAGUGGCGAAGGCGGCUUUCUGGUCUGUAACUGACGCUGAGGCGCGAAAGCGUGGGGAGCAAACAGGAUUAGAUACCCUGGUAGUCCACGCCGUAAACGAUGAGUGCUAAGUGUUAGGGGGUUUCCGCCCCUUAGUGCUGCAGCUAACGCAUUAAGCACUCCGCCUGGGGAGUACGGCCGCAAGGCUG